CUCAAGCAGUGAUGAUGAUGGCUUCAUGUCAUACCCUGAAUGCUCCCUGUGGGUUAAAAGUCACUAUCUCAUCUGAGCUUGAA